GAUGAACGCUAGCGGCAGGCUUAACACAUGCAAGUCGAGGGGCAGCACUGGUAGCAAUACCUGGUGGCGACCGGCAAACGGGUGCGGAACGCGUACGCAAUUUACCCUUGUCUGGGGGAUAGCCCGGAGAAAUCCGGAUUAAUACCCCAUAAGAUAUUGGAGUGGCAUCACUCAGAUAUUAAAACUCCGGUGGACAGGGAUGAGCGUGCGUCCCAUUAGCUAGUUGGAGGGUAAUGGCCUACCAAGGCGACGAUGGGUAGCUGGUGUGAGAGCACGACCAGCCACACGGGCACUGAGACACGGGCCCGACUCCUACGGGAGGCAGCAGUGAGGAAUAUUGGUCAAUGGACGCAAGUCCGAACC
rnacentral:rRNA from 1 species